rnacentral:rRNA from 1 species
ACGCUAGCUACAGGCUUAACACAUGCAAGUCGAGGGGAAACGGCAUUAAGUGCUUGCACUUUUUGGACGUCGACCGGCGCACGGGUGAGUAACGCGUAUCCAACCUUCCCAUGACUAAGGGAUAACCUGCGGAAAGGCAGACUAAUACCUUAUGGUCUUCACUGACGGCAUCAGAUGUGAAGUAAAGAUUUAUCGGUUAUGGAUGGGGAUGCGUCUGAUUAGUUAGUUGGCGGGGUAACGGCCCACCAAGGCAACGAUCAGUAGGGGUUCUGAGAGGAAGGUCCCCCACAUUGGAACUGAGACACGGUCCAAACUCCUACGGGAGGCAGCAGUGAGGAAUAUUGGUCAAUGGGCGAGAGCCUGAACCAGCCAAGUAGCGUGCAGGAUGACGGCCCUAUGGGUUGUAAACUGCUUUUGUAUGGGGAUAAAGUCAAUCACGUGUGAUUGUUUGCAGGUACCAUACGAAUAAGGACCGGCUAAUUCCGUGCCAGCAGCCGCGGUAAUACGGAAGGUCCGGGCGUUAUCCGGAUUUAUUGGGUUUAAAGGGAGCGUAGGCUGGAGAUUAAGUGUGAUGUGAAAUGUAGACGCUCAACGUCUGACUUGCAGCGCAUACUGGUUUCCUUGAGUACGCACAACGUUGGCGGAAUUCGUCGUGUAGCGGUGAAAUGCUUAGAUAUGACGAAGAGCUCCGAUUGCGAAGGCAGCUGACGGGAGCGAACUGACGCUGAAGCUCGAAGGUGCGGGUAUCGAACAGGAUUAGAUACCCUGGUAGUCCGCACAGUAAACGAUGGAUGCCCGCUGUUGGUACGUGGUAUCAGCGGCUAAGCGAAAGCAUUAAGCAUCCCACCUGGGGAGUACGCGGGCAACGGUGAAACUCAAAGGAAUUGACGGGGGCCCGCACAAGCGGAGGAACAUGUGG